GGGCGUUUAGCGCAGUGGUAGCGCGUAUGCUUUGCAGGCCCUGCAGUAAAAGCGCAGAUCCUUACUUGUAUAAGGUCCAGGGUUCAAUCCCCUGAACGUCCA